GCAAGCCCUGCAGGAGGAGCUGCGACUCAUGAGCUUGGAGCAUGAUGAGUUAAUGAGGCAGGUGGAGGAUUGUGUGUUUGAACAGGAAAGAAAGGAACUUCGGAGGGUGCAGGAGAGGCUGUUGUUGAAAAUGGAGAGGAAAGGAGAGCAGAUCAGUAAGCUGUACAAGCACAAGUCGCAG